UAGGGAAUCUUCGGCAAUGGACGCAAGUCUGACGGAGCAACGCCGCGUGAGUGAAGAAGGAUUUCGGUUCGUAAAACUCUGUUGUUAGAGAAGAACAGCGCAUAGAGUAACUGUUAUGCGUGUGACGGUAUCUAACCAGAAAGCCACGGCUAACUACGUGCCAGCAGCCGCGGUAAUACGUAGGUGGCAAGCGUUGUCCGGAUUUAUUGGCGUAAAGCGAGCGCAGGCGGUCAAUUAAGUCUGAUGUGAAAGCCCCCGGCUCAACCGGGGAGGGUCAUUGGAAACUGGUUGACUUGAGUGCAGAAGAGGAGAGUGGAAUUCCAUGUGUAGCGGUGAAAUGCGUAGAUAUAUGGAGGAACACCAGUGGCGAAGGCGACUCUCUGGUCUGUAACUGACGCUGAGGCUCGAAAGCGUGGGGAGCGAACAGG
rnacentral:rRNA from 1 species